AUUUUUCCCACGCGACGAGAGACAUUAAGCCGAUCAGUGUUCAGUUCUCGUUUCUACACGAUGCGUUUUCACGCACCUGUUGAAGUUGCCGUGACAACAACUCGUUUCGUACUUUCACGGGAAGAUAUUACAAUAUCAAUGUGAAAAAUUGUGUUUAGAUGACGCGAGGCAUAUCCGACAUUGGAAACGUUUCCUUCAAAGUACCGUGUCGAGCAUACCCAACGAUUUGACGAAGCGUUCCUCACGCGUGCACCACUGACUCAGUUCCUCGAAAGUGAUAAGGCCGUCAUGGUUCGCAUCGAUUUUCUGCAUCAUCAAUCAAAGACGUGGCCGGCCAUCCGGAUAGCAAUUUUUUGUUUUUAACACACACCCCGUGUUCCAGCAUUUAAAAAAAAUCAUAAUAAAUACAAAAUGCGUUAAUAAAAAGCUCAUAAGCUGGA